rnacentral:tRNA from 1 species
UAAUAAGUAAACUAAAGAUUAAAAAGUUAUAGGUUUCAUUCACCUAAGAUAUUGUAUUUACAAUCUUAUUAU